rnacentral:rRNA from 1 species
UCUGGUAUUCCGGAGGGCAUGCCUGUCCGAGCGUCAUUGCUGCCCUCAAGCACGGCUUGUGUGUUGGGCUCCGUCCCCCGAUCCCGGGGGACGGGCCCGAAAGGCAGCGGCGGCACCGCGUCCGGUCCUCGAGCGUAUGGGGCUUUGUCACCCGCUCUGUAGGCCCGGCCGGCGCCUGCCGAUCAACCAAAUUUUUAUCCAGGUUGACCUCGGAUCAGGUAGGGAUACCCGCUGAACUUAAGCAUAUCAAUAAGCGGAGGAAAAGAAACCAACAGGGAUUGCCCCAGUAACGGCGAGUGAAGCGGCAAGAGCUCAAAUUUGAAAGCUGGCUCCUUCGGGGUCCGCAUUGUAAUUUGCAGAGGAUGCUUCGGGAGCGGUCCCCAUCUAAGUGCCCUGGAACGGGACGUCAUAGAGGGUGAGAAUCCCGUAUGGGAUGGGGUGUCCGCGCCCGUGUGAAGCUCCUUCGACGAGUCGAGUUGUUUGGGAAUGCAGCUCUAAAUGGGUGGUAAAUUUCAUCUAAAGCUAAAUAUUGGCCGGAGACCGAUAGCGCACAAGUAGAGUGAUCGAAAGAUGAAAAGCACUUUGAAAAGAGAGUUAAAAAGCACGUGAAAUUGUUGAAAGGGAAGCGCUUGCGACCAGACUCGCUCGCGGGGUUCAGCCGGCAUUCGUGCCGGUGUACUUCCCCGCGGGCGGGCCAGCGUCGGUUUGGGUGGUCGGUCAAAGGCCCUCGGAAGGUAACGCCCCCUCGGGGGCGUCUUAUAGCCGAGGGUGCAAUGCGACCUACCCGGACCGAGGAACGCGCUCGGCUC